rnacentral:rRNA from 1 species
GAUGAACGCUGGCGGCGUGCCUAAUACAUGCAAGUCGAGCGAAUGGAUUAAGAGCUUGCUCUUAUGAAGUUAGCGGCGGACGGGUGAGUAACACGUGGGUAACCUGCCCAUAAGACUGGAUAACUCCGGGAAACCGGGGCUAAUACCGGAUAACAUUUUGAACCGCAUGGUUCGAAAUUGAAAGGCGGCUUCGGCUGUCACUUAUGGAUGGACCCGCGCCGCAUUAGCUAGUUGGUGAGGUAACGGCUCACCAAGGCAACGAUGCGUAGCCGACCUGAGAGGGUGAUCGGCCACACUGGGACUGAGACACGGCCCAGACUCCUACGGGAGGCAGCAGUAGGGAAUCUUCCGCAAUGGACGAAAGUCUGACGGAGCAACGCCGCGUGAGUGAUGAAGGCUUUCGGGUCGUAAAACUCUGUUGUUAGGGAAGAACAAGUGCUAGUUGAAUAAGCUGGCACCUUGACGGUACCUAACCAGAAAGCCACGGCUAACUACGUGCCAGCCGCCGCGGUAA